GAGAAGCUUCGACUAAGGUUCGACUCGAGCGAAGCGAGAGAACGUUGCCGCAGGCAACGGCCCGAAGGGCGAGGCGCUUUAGCGCCGAGUC
rnacentral:sRNA from 1 species